rnacentral:tRNA from 7 species
GGGCCCGUAGCUCAGCUGGGAGAGCGCCUGGUUUGCAUCCAGGAGGUCGUCGGUUCGAACCCGGUCGGGUCCACCA